AUUGAACGCUGGCGGCAUGCUUUACACAUGCAAGUCGAACGGUAACAGGUUAAGCUGACGAGUGGCGAACGGGUGAGUAAUGCAUCGGAACGUGCCCGAUCGUGGGGGAUAACGCAGCGAAAGCUGCGCUAAUACCGCAUACGAUCUGAGGAUGAAAGCGGGGGACCGUAAGGCCUCGCGCGAUCGGAGCGGCCGAUGUCAGAUUAGGUAGUUGGUGGGGUAAAGGCUCACCAAGCCAACGAUCUGUAGCUGGUCUGAGAGGACGACCAGCCAGACGGGGACUGAGACACGGCCCAGACUCCUACGGGAGGCAGCAGUGGGGAAUUUUGGACAAUGGGCGAAAGCCUGAUCCAGCAAUGCCGCGUGCAGGAAGAAGGCCUUCGGGUUGUAAACUGCUUUUGUACGGAGCGAAAAGGCUCUCUCUAAUACAGGGGGCUCAUGACGGUACCGUAAGAAUAAGCACCGGCUAACUACGUGCCAGCCGCCGCGGUAA
rnacentral:rRNA from 1 species